CUCACCAUGGGAUGGAGCUGGAUCAUCCUCUUCCUCCUGUCAGUAACUACAGGUGUCCACUCCCAGGUCCAGCUGCAGCAGUCUGGUCCUGAGCUGGGGAAACCCGGGUCCUCAGUGAAGUUGUCCUGCAAGGCUUCUGGCUACACCUUCACUAACUACUUUAUGCAUUGGGUGAAGCAGAGGCCUGGACAGGGCCUGGAGUGGAUUGGAAGGAUUAAUCCUUGGAAUGGUAAUACUAACUAUGCUCAGAAGUUCCAGGGCAAGGCCACACUGACUGUAGACAAAUCCUCCAGCACAGCCUACAUGGAGCUCAGCAGCCUGACCUCCGAGGACUCUGCAGUCUAUUACUGUGCAAGAGACACAGUGUUGCAACCACAUCCUGAGUGUGUCAGAAACCCUGGAGGAGCAGGAAGCUGCCCUGGGACUGAGAUGACAGAUAAGAUUAGACUAGAGACUUGUUCAAAUAUCAUCAUUCUGAAGGUCCCUUUUUCACUUCAAAGUCUUAUAGAGUCUUUGUCAACUUUCCAAAAGGACUGCUGGGAAUAA